AGGAGCCGUAUGAGUCGAGAGAUUCACGUACGGUUCUGUGGGGGCGUGAGGGGGAGGUUCCUUUGCGCUACCCGAC
rnacentral:ncRNA from 1 species